rnacentral:tRNA from 1 species
GGAGUUGUGGCUCAGUGGUGGAGCACUCACCUAGCACAUGAGAGGCCCUGGGUUUGAUCCUCAGCACCA